rnacentral:rRNA from 1 species
AAAGGCCCUUCGGGGUACUCGAGUGGCGAACGGGUGAGUAACACGUGGGUGAUCUGCCCUGCACUUUGGGAUAAGCCUGGGAAACUGGGUCUAAUACCGAAUAGGACUACGCGAUGCAUGUCGUGUGGUGGAAAGCUUUUGCGGUGUGGGAUGGGCCCGCGGCCUAUCAGCUUGUUGGUGAGGUUACGGCUCACCAAGGCGACGACGGGUAGCCGGCCUGAGAGGGUGACCGGCCACACUGGGACUGAGAUACGGCCCAGACUCCUACGGGAGGCAGCAGUGGGGAAUAUUGCACAAUGGGCGCAAGCCUGAUGCAGCGACGCCGCGUGAGGGAUGACGGCCUUCGGGUUGUAAACCUCUUUCGCCAGGGACGAAGCGCAAGUGACGGUACCUGGAGAAGAAGGACCGGCCAACUACGUGCCAGC